AGCAGCCGCGGUAAUUCCAGCUCCAAUAGCGUAUAUUAAAGUUGUUGCAGUUAAAAAGCUCGUAGUUGAAUUUUGGAUCUGACCAAGCGGUCCGCUUUUGGCGAGUACUGUUUUGUGUCGGGUCUAUCCUUCUGGUGAGCUGGUAUGCCCUUUAUUGGGUGUGUCAGGGAACCAGGACCAUUACCUUGAAAAAAUUAGAGUGUUUAAAGCGGGCAUAAGCUUGAAUAGAUUAGCAUGGAAUAAUAGAAUAGGACGUUGUGGUUCUAUUUUGUUGGUUUCUAGGACCACCGUAAUGAUUAAUAGGGAUAGUUGGGGGCAUUAGUAUUCAAUUGUCAGAGGUGAAAUUCUUGGAUUUAUUGAAGACUAACUAUUGCGAAAGCAUUUGCCAAGGAUGUUUUCAUUAAUCAAGAACGAAAGUUAGGGGAUCGAAGACGAUCAGAUACCGUCGUAGUCUUAACCAUAAACUAUGCCGACUAGGAAUCGGGACGUCGUUAUUUUCAUGACUCGCUCGGCGCCUUAUGGGAAACCU
rnacentral:rRNA from 1 species